UCAGCUUUCCCAGAUUACUUACUUUGUACAAAAAUAGGUGAUCUCCGAAAGCUGAAU
rnacentral:precursor_RNA from 1 species